CAACCCCUAAGCACAGCUUGGUAUUGGGCAACGCGGUCCGCCGCGUGCCUCAAAUCGACCGGCUGGGUCUUCUGUCCCCUAAGCGUUGUGGAAACUAUUCGCUAAAGGGUGCUCGGGAGGCUACGCCGUAAAACAACCCCAUUUCUAA
rnacentral:misc_RNA from 1 species